UAUAUCCUGGCAGACAUACUGACACACACGUACACACACACAGACAUACCUACAUACACACACACAGACAUACUGGCAUACACACAGACAUACUGAAACACACACACACAGACAUACUAGCAUACACACAGACAUACUGACACACACACACACACACACAAACAUACUGGCAUACACACACAGACAUACUGACACACACACACACACACACAGACAUACUGGCAUACACACACAGACAUACUGACACACACACACACACACACACACAGACAUACUGGCAUACACACAGACAUACUGACACACACACACACACACACAGACAUACUGGCAUACACACACAGACAUACUGACACACACACAGACAUACUGGCAUACACACACAGACAUACUGACACACACACACACACACACACACUGACAUACUGACACACACACACACACACAGACAUACUGGCAUACAUUUAGCCACCCUCCAGGUUCUUACCUUUUCCUGGAGGGUGGUUUCCCUGGUCCAG